UACAGAGGGUGCGAGCGUUAAUCGGAAUUACUGGGCGUAAAGCGUGCGUAGACGGUUAUUUAAGUCAGGUGUGAAAGCCCCGUGCUCAACCUGGGAAUUGCAUUUGAGACUGAAUAGCUAGGGUGCGGAAGAGGGAAGCGGAAUUUCCGGUGUAGCGGUGAAAUGCGUAGAUAUCGGAAGGAACACCAGUGGCGAAAGCGGCUUCCUGGUCCAGCACCGACGUUCAGGCACGAAAGCGUGGGGAGCAAACAGG
rnacentral:rRNA from 1 species